CGCCAAUGCUUGGUGACCUAAAAACAGAGUAAAAGCCCUGAAGGAAACCGAGUAAUUCACAAAUUGAAAAGAUGCACGUAGGACUUUCUUUUAAUUUAAAAGUUUGAGUGUCAUCUGACCAGUUCAAAUAUCAAUAACAGCUAGAAAAUCUAGAAAAUAUUUUUCCUCUUUGCCAUUUAGGUUCUUAAGUACCAGGGGCCUGUUUAUCGAAACUGUCUUAAGUUCCGUUGUAAGAAUUUCGUAGGACAGAAUUUAGGAUAAAGUUAGGACCGACUUAUGACACGUCUCAGCAUCAGCCAUGCACAUCGACGUUAUCUUAGGGUUAUCUUAGCAAGGACGUCCUAACCGAUGUCCUAAGUAUUGGCGGAAAAGAUUAAAUAAAAACCCGAAUGUCUUUGCAGGUGUUAUAUCUGAAAGCGAAAGUUAGAAAACAACAAAAAAUAAUUAAGCUGAAAAACUCAAAAUAAAAAAGUUUGACAAGAGAAAAAUCGAAACAUAAAAAACAUUAAAUUGCGCAUUGUCCAACAACAGUUACAUUGCAAAAAAGAGUGCACCAAAGAAAACAAUGUCAGGAAGACUGUGUAGAAGUUUGGUCAUAAAUAAAUUGUUCAAAAGCAAAAUGGAGUGGAAACUUUGAGGGA
rnacentral:lncRNA from 1 species